GACGAACGCUGGCGGCGUGCUUAACACAUGCAAGUCGAACGGUAAGGCCCUUCGGGGUACACGAGUGGCGAACGGGUGAGUAACACGUGGGUGAUCUGCCCUGCACUUCGGGAUAAGCCUGGGCAACUGGGUCUAAUACCGGAUAGGACUCCUGGCUUCAUGGUUGGGGGUGGAAAGCUUUUGCGGUGUUGGGGACGGGCCCGCGGCCUAUCAGCUUGUUGUUGGGGUAAUGGCCUACCAAGGAGACGACGGGUAGCCGGCCUGAGAGGGUGACCGGUCACACUGGGACAGAGAUUCGGCCUAGACUCCUACGGUAGGCAGCAGUGGGGAAUAUUGCAAGAUGGGCGUAAGCCUGAUGCAGCGACGCCGCGGGAGGGAUGACGGCCUUCGGGUUGUAAACCUCUGUCAGCUAUGACGAAGCGCAAGUGACGGUAGUAGCAGAAGAAGGACCGGCCAACUACGUGCCAGCCGCCGCCGUAA
rnacentral:rRNA from 1 species